AUGCUUACUUUGGCAGCACAUAUACUAAAAUUGGAACAAUAUAGAGAAGAUUAGCAUGGCCCCUGUAGAAGGGUGACACACAAAUUCAUGAUGUGUUCCAUAUUUUU